rnacentral:rRNA from 1 species
AGUGAACGCUGGCGGCAGGCCUAACACAUGCAAGUCGAACGGCAGCACAGUAAGAGCUUGCUCUUACGGGUGGCGAGUGGCGGACGGGUGAGGAAUACAUCGGAAUCUACUUUUUCGUGGGGGAUAACGUAGGGAAACUUACGCUAAUACCGCAUACGACCUACGGGUGAAAGCAGGGGAUCUUCGGACCUUGCGCGAUUGAAUGAGCCGAUGUCGGAUUAGCUAGUUGGCGGGGUAAAGGCCCACCAAGGCGACGAUCCGUAGCUGGUCUGAGAGGAUGAUCAGCCACACUGGAACUGAGACACGGUCCAGACUCCUACGGGAGGCAGCAGUGGGGAAUAUUGGACAAUGGGCGCAAGCCUGAUCCAGCCAUACCGCGUGGGUGAAGAAGGCCUUCGGGUUGUAAAGCCCUUUUGUUGGGGAAGAAAAGCAGCAGGUUAAUACCCCGCUGUUCUGACGGUACCCAAAGAAUAAGCACCGGCUAACUUCGUG